rnacentral:rRNA from 1 species
GAUGAACGCUGGCGGCGUGCCUAAUACAUGCAAGUCGAGCGAACAGACGAGGAGCUUGCUCCUCUGACGUUAGCGGCGGAAGGGUGAGUAACACGUGGAUAACCUACCUAUAAGACUGGGAUAAAUUCGGGAAACCGGAGCUAAUACCGGAUAAUAUAUUGAACCGCAUGGUUCAAUAGUGAAAGACGGUUUUGCUGUCACUUAUAGAUGGAUCCGCGCCGCAUUAGCUAGUUGGUAAGGUAACGGCUUACCAAGGCAACGAUGCGUAGCCGACCUGAGAGGGUGAUCGGCCACACUGGAACUGAGACACGGUCCAGACUCCUACGGGAGGCAGCAGUAGGGAAUCUUCCGCAAUGGGCGAAAGCUUGACGGAGCAACGCCGCGUGAGUGAUGAAGGUCUUCGGAUCGUAAAACUCUGUUAUUAGGGAAGAACAAAUGUGUAAGUAACUAUGCACGUCUUGACGGUACCUAAUCAGAAAGCCACGGCUAACUACGUG